rnacentral:rRNA from 1 species
GACGAACGCUUGCGGCGUGCCUAAGAAAUGCAAGUCGAGCGAGUUGAGAGAGCUUGCUCUCGAAGCUAGCGGCGAACGGUCGCGUAACACGUAAGCAACCUGCCCCGAAGACCGGGACAACAUUCCGAAAGGAGUGCUAAUACCGGAUGUGGCCAUUUUUGGACAUCCAGAGAUGAUUAAAGCCUGUACAAGGGCUUCGGGAGGGGCUUGCGGCCUAUCAGCUAGAUGGUGGGGUAACGGCCUACCAUGGCGACGACGGGUAGCGGGUCUGAGAGGACGAUCCGCCGGACUGGGACUGAGAUACGGCCCAGACUCCUACGGGGGGCAGCAAUUAGGAAUCUUGCACAAUGGGGGCAACCCUGAUGCAGCGACGCCGCGUGAGGGAGGAAGUCCUUCGGGAUGUAAACCUCUUUUAUCGGGGAAGAAACAAAUGACGGUACCCGAUGAAUAAGCUCCGGCUAACUACGUGC